CCCUUAGAUGUUCUGGGCCGCACGCGCGCUACACUGACUGGUUCAUCGAGUAUACAACCUUGACUGAUAGGUCUGGGUAAUCUUCUCAAAGCCAGUCGUGCUGGGGAUAGAUUAUUGUAAUUUUUAAUCUUCAACGAGGAAUUCCUAGUAAACGCGAGUCAUCAACUCGCAUUGAUUACGUCCCUGCCCUUUGUACACACCGCCCGUCGCUCCUACCGAUUGAAUGUUCCGGUGAGCUCUUCGGACUGCGCGGUCUGCAGUUUCUGCGUUCCGUGCGGAAAGUUGCGCAAACCUUAACAUUUAGAGGAAGGAGAAGUCGUAACA
rnacentral:rRNA from 1 species